rnacentral:rRNA from 1 species
UACGAAGGGGGCUAGCGUUGCUCGGAAUCACUGGGCGUAAAGCGCACGUAGGCGGAUCCUUAAGUCGGGGGUGAAAUCCUGGAGCUCAACUCCAGAACUGCCUUCGAUACUGGAAGACUUGAGUCCGGGAGAGGUGAGUGGAACUGCGAGUGUAGAGGUGAAAUUCGUAGAUAUUCGCAAGAACACCAGUGGCGAAGGCGGCUCACUGGCCCGGUACUGACGCUGAGGUGCGAAAGCGUGGGGAGCAAACAGG